UUUGCAUUCUGUCUCCACAUGUGCCAAGUCAGCUUUAACAUAAUUUCCCACUAUAAUAAUUGUUUAGAAGGAAGAAAUUUGAAUAUGUGGAAAAUGCCAUUUACAACUAAAGUUACCCUUAAGGCAUACUUGCUGCCCAAGGAAGUCGGAAGAAGGUGUCUGAUUCUCCUGGAACUGGAGUAGGUGGAGUGGAUAAGCUGAUAUAGCCCAGCCCUGGAGGGAAUGAAUCAUUUCUUCAAAUGGGUGCUGCUGACUUUUGAACAAAC